GCAGUACUGGAAUAAUAAUGAAAUAAAUAAAAUUGAAAUAAAUGUAGAAAGAAAAACACAUGAUGAAUACUUAGUAGUUGUAUCGAUUUGUCAAGAAAAUAUAAGAACAAAAAGGCAUAAUCUUUCCGAAUCCUCGGUAUUACUCGGCUACACGGUGCAAGCAUGCUGCAGAAGACUAGCUAGAGAGCAUGAGACCUAAUUUGAGUGGUAGGGAAGAUUCUCCGCUUGAAGCUUUCUGAUUGGCACACGUGCACGGUCUCAUUGAAAUGAGACUUCGUUUCCAGACAGCUGUUGACUGAGGAUAUUAGACAGGUUCCAGGGUAGAUCAAGAGUUACAGCCAAAAACCGAAAAUUUCCUUGGCAAUUUCUCUGCUGCUGGUCCUACGCUCUUUUUGCUCGUUUUUGGCGGUGUUUUAAACAUGCUGGGCAACUAACUACUAGCGCCACUAGUGGUGGAAAUUGGGGGCAGAAUCGAGGGACAUUUUGCGAACCACAUUUAGCACCGUGUGUCAGCACCGUAUUCCAUCAAAUUCUAUCGUAUUUCAAAAGACGCUAGAAUUAACUAGUGUAGCUAACGUGAACCCGGCGCACUGGUCGGACGAGAUCUGCCGCUCGCUCCGUGGUAGCGCUUUUAUAAGAGGCGGUUUGGCGGAUCGUCAAGCGUUCAGCAGUCGCUCGGUGACGUCAAAGUUCUAAGAAUUGCGAAUGCCUGAUUCUCUUAUCCCUUUCUGAAUUACAUUCCUAGGUGAUCAUUAUUCAUCAAUUUCAUGCGAGAGAUCAACCGUUUAGGAAUUAUUAUAACAAGACCAAUUUUUUGCAACUUUAAUCCAGGAUGGCGAAUCGCACGGACCCUUCUCUUCAAAGGCCGAAAAUACAUACACGACAAUCACUACUAUCCCACCAUUUGUAGUGCAAAGGUUUGUUUUACUCCCCAUCAACUGGACUACAUUUGAACAUAAUUAGAAUGUCAGGAAUAAAAUAUAAGUACAUUACAUACAAAACCGUAAAUUUAUAUAAAUAUUGAAUUUGUAAAGGCUUAUUAUUUGCAAUAAUUCUAAUCGAAGACUAUACUAGAAUUGAUUAAGACCGCACUUACCUUGCUGUAUUUCGUAUUCAUCCAAUUCUGCAGCAUGAUGCAAUUUCCACUUUUGCAUUUUCUUAUUCUCAUCGAUGGUACGUCCGUUUUUUUUUUUUUUUGAAAAUCAACCGUUCAACCAAUUGUCAUUUAUAAUAUAUAAUUAAGCAAAUCAAGAUUUCAUUUCCAAGAAAGCCCUCCAUUUCGAACCUCAACUCUAGAAAAUAUAUAUUCAAUCAUCUCCUACAUCAAUUUGUUGAGCGAAAUAAGUUCGUUAUCAACUACCACGAAAAUUGAUUAAAUACUCGCUUAGCAAAAUUAGGCUAAAAUAAUAAGAAUAAGUACAUUUAAAUAUAAAUAAAAUUAUGCAUCGUGAUUCUCGCGUUGAGAAAAAUAAAAUCAUUAAUUGCGACACAACGUACAAAGUUUAGUUAAAAAAAAAAAAAAAAAUUCAAAAUAAUAAUAACAUUAUUUUCUCGAAUAUCGCACGAUAUAAGAAUUUAUUUCCGUAAAUAAUUAGAUAGAAAAUAUAAUUAAGCCGAGCUAAAUAAUUAUAAGUUUUUCGUUUCUAGUUUUGUUUGUUGUGAAAACAGGAGGAGGGGUGAAGUUUCUGUUGCUAUUUAGUAUUAUUAAUAAUAAUAAUAGUUAUUAUAGGUAGUAAAUAAUUACGUUAUGCAAGUCGGAAUAAUAAAGUUGCCAAUGAGACGGUUUUUUUUUUAUCAACUAUUUCGAGAAGUUUGACAAUAUUUGUUUUUCUUAUCAUUAAAAUUCAAUGAUAUUGUUGUUUGUAAUAUUUCACGUGGUGGUAAAAGAUAUAUCGUCGUCGUCGCUGCUGCUUGAUUAAAUUAAAAUCUUUUUUUUUUUAUUUUCAAUUUUCACCGUACCAAUGUAAUCAAUCAUUCAAUUAACCAGAUGGUUUCUCAUUACAAAUAAAAAUAAA